rnacentral:hammerhead_ribozyme from 15 species
CCGGCGUCUAAGGUAGGCUUCCACUACAAUACCUCACUGAUGAGUCCAGUAGUGGAAGCCGGGACGAAACGCCAA